UACGUAGGGCGCAAGCGUUAUCCGGGAUUAUUGGGCGUAAAGAGCUCGUAGGCGGUUUGUCGCGUCUGCUGUGAAAGACCGGGGCUCAACUCCGGUUCUGCAGUGGGUACGGGCAGACUAGAGUGCAGUAGGGGAGACUGGAAUUCCUGGGGUAGCGGUGAAAUGCGCAGAUAUCAGGAGGAACACCGAUGGCGAAGGCAGGUCUCUGGGCUGUAACUGACGCUGAGGAGCGAAAGCAUGGGGAGCGAACAGG
rnacentral:rRNA from 1 species